rnacentral:tRNA from 1 species
GUUUCACUAAGUUAUCAGACUAAGUGUUUUCAAAACACUAAGGGGCAUGUUGUCGUGUGACG